rnacentral:rRNA from 1 species
UAGUCCACGCCGUAAACGAUGGGCACUAGGCGUUCGGGGUAUUGACCCCUCGAGUGCCGCAGCUAACGCAUUAAGUGCCCCGCCUGGGGAGUACGGCCGCAAGGUUAAAACUCAAAUGAAUUGACGGGGGCCCGCACAAGCGGUGGAGCAUGUGGUUUAAUUCGAUGCAACGCGAAGAACCUUACCUACUCUUGACAUCUAGAGAAGCUUGCAGAGAUGCGAGUGUGCCUUCGGGAACUCUAAGACAGGUGCUGCAUGGCUGUCGUCAGCUCGUGUUGUGAAAUGUUGGGUUAAGUCCCGCAACGAGCGCAACCCUUAUCCUUGUUUGCCAGCACGUAAUGGUGGGAACUCCAGGGAGACUGCCGGUGAUAAACCGGAGGAAGGUGGGGACGACGUCAAGUCAUCAUGGCCCUUACGAGUAGGGCUACACACGUGCUACAAUGGUGCAUACAGAGGGCAGCGAGACCGCGAGGUGGAGCGAAUCCCAGAAAGUGCAUCGUAGUCC